ensembl:lncRNA
CAAGAUUCCUUCCCACCUCUUUUCUGACACACCUGAACCCUUGUUAAUGUGGCUGAAGUGCCAUUUCCACUCAGAAGCCAGGAUCUGGUUUCGCCGUGCUUGGCCUCCCUCCCAGAGUUGAGUCAUGAAUGGAGGUUUGGCAUCCUCCAGGGCUGAAGGUGUCCUUGUUCAGUCUCUCAACUGCUGCUUUCUCAGUGUUCUCAGUUACUGAGUAACUGCCAUUUCCUUGUUGUCAGUACUUCGUACUCCGCUAUUUGCAGAUCAAGGAUCCAGAACAGCUUAGUUGGGCAGUUCUGGCUGAGGGCCUCUCAUGAGACUGCAGUGAACAUGUUCGCCAGCACUAGGUUGUCAGAAGGCUGGCCUGGGGUUGGAGGAUUCACUUCCAAGUUGACUCACUCAUAUGCCUGAAUGCAGCUCGUCCUUGAACUGUUUCAUCCAGUUUGGGAAAAUGUUGCUCUAUAGUGAUAUUCACAAGUGUGAGCAGUUGUGAAGCUAGUGGCAUUUAUCCCCUGGAAGAGGGCCACACCAGUGUGAAACCUGUGUCACCCUGUGUGAGGACAGUUUGACGUGAGGAGCUGUGACAUCCCGGUUGCUAACAUGUCUUCUCUCAUUCACCACGCACUUGCUCCUUCCCAAUUCACAAAACUUGUACCUAAAAUUUGGGAAAUAAAAAUAUAUUUUUAAAACUGGUGACUUUUGAAGGGAAAUAUUGCAAGCUCUAUUUUAAUUUCUAAGGCUGUAGAAGUCAGAGGAAAAAGAAAAAUAAAGAAAAAG